CCGCGGUACCCUAACCGCGCGAAGGUAGCAUAAUCACUUGUCCUCUAAAUAAGGACUUGUAUCAACGGCACCACGAGGGUUGCACUGUCUCCUCCCUCUAAUCAGAGAAACUGAUCUCCCCGAUGAAGAAGCGGGGAUAAAACUAUAAGACGAGAAGACCCCAUGGAGCUUCAAACUGAACAGCAACUUAAUUACUUAUUUCCCCAUAUAAUAAAGGUAUGCCUGUAAGUUUUGGGUUGGGGCGACCGCGGAGAACAAAAUAACCUCCACAGCGAAAAGAACUAAACCUUUAUCUAAGAGCCACCCCUCAAAGAAUUAGCACCCUAACGUAUAAUGACCCGAUUAUCGAUCAACGAACCAAGUUACCCUGGGGAUAACAGCGCAAUCUACUCCAAGAGCCCCUAUCGACGAGUAGGCUUACGACCUCGAUGUUGGAUCAGGGUAUCCCAGUGGUGCAGCCGCUACUAACGGUUCGUUUGUUCAACGAUUAAAACCCUACGCUGCAUCUGAGUUCAAACCGGAG
rnacentral:rRNA from 1 species